CCCUUAGAUGUUCUGGGCUGCACGCGCGCUACACUGAUGCGUUCAACGAGUGUAUCACCUUGCCCGAUAGGGUUGGGUAAUCUUUUGAACACGCAUCGUGAUGGGGAUAGAUUAUUGCAAUUAUUAAUCUUCAACGAGGAAUUCCUAGUAAUGAUGAAUCAUCAGUUCAUCGUGAUUACGUCCCUGCCCUUUGUACACACCGCCCGUCGCUCCUACCGAUUGAGCAAUCCGGUGAAUACUUCGGACCGUUUGCAUAGGUGGUUCGCCACCUAUACGAAUGGAAAGUCGAGUGAACCUUAUCGCUUAGAGGAAGGAGAAGUCGUAACA
rnacentral:rRNA from 1 species